rnacentral:rRNA from 1 species
GAUAAACGCUGGCGGCGUGCCUAAUACAUGCAAGUCGAGCGAACGGACGAGAAGCUUGCUUCUCUGAUGUUAGCGGCGGACGGGUGAGUAACACGUGGAUAACCUACCUAUAAGACUGGGAUAACUUCGGGAAACCGGAGCUAAUACCGGAUAAUAUUUUGAACCGCAUGGUUCAAAAGUGAAAGACGGUCUUGCUGUCACUUAUAGAUGGAUCCGCGCUGCAUUAGCUAGUUGGUAAGGUAACGGCUUACCAAGGCAACGAUGCAUAGCCGACCUGAGAGGGUGAUCGUCCACACUGGAACUGAGACACGGUCCAGACUCCUACGGGAGGCAGCAGUAGGGAAUCUUCCGCAAUGGGCGAAAGCCUGACGGAGCAACGCCGCGAGAGUGAUGAAGGUCUUCGGAUCGUAAAACUCUGUUAUUAGGGAAGAACAUAUGUGUAAGUAACUGUGCACAUCUUGACGGUACCUAAUCAGAAAGCCACGGCUAACUACGUGCCAGCAGCCGCGGUAAUACGUAGGUGGCAAGCGUUAUCCGGAAUUAUUGGGCGUAAAGCGCGCGUAGGCGGUUUUUUAAGUCUGAUGUGAAAGCCCACGGCUCAACCGUGGAGGGUCAUUGGAAACUGGAAAACUUGAGUGCAGAAGAGGAAAGUGGAAUUCCAUGUGUAGCGGUGAAAUGCGCAGAGAUAUGGAGGAACACCAGUGGCGAAGGCGACUUUCUGGUCUGUAACUGACGCUGAUGUGCGAAAGCGUGGGGAUCAAACAGGAUUAGAUACCCUGGUAGUCCACGCCGUAAACGAUGAGUGCUAAGUGUUAGGGGGUUUCCGCCCCUUAGUGCUGCAGCUAACGCAUUAAGCACUCCGCCUGGGGAGUACGACCGCAAGGUUGAAACUCAAAGGAAUUGACGGGGACCCGCACAAGCGGUGGAGCAUGUGGUUUAAUUCGAAGCAACGCGAAGAACCUUACCAAAUCUUGACAUCCUUUGACAACUCUAGAGAUAGAGCCUUCCCCUUCGGGGGACAAAGUGACAGGUGGUGCAUGGUUGUCGUCAGCUCGUGUCGUGAGAUGUUGGGUUAAGUCCCGCAACGAGCGCAACCCUUAAGCUUAGUUGCCAUCAUUAAGUUGGGCACUCUAAGUUGACUGCCGGUGACAAACCGGAGGAAGGUGGGGAUGACGUCAAAUCAUCAUGCCCCUUAUGAUUUGGGCUACACACGUGCUACAAUGGACAAUACAAAGGGCAGCGAAACCGCGAGGUCAAGCAAAUCCCAUAAAGUUGUUCUCAGUUCGGAUUGUAGUCUGCAACUCGACUACAUGAAGCUGGAAUCGCUAGUAAUCGUAGAUCAGCAUGCUACGGUGAAUACGUUCCCGGGUCU